UACGUAGGGUGCGAGCGUUAAUCGGAAUUACUGGGUGUAAAGCGUGCGCAGGCGGCUUCGCAAGUCAGGCGUGAAAUCCCCGGGCUUAACCUGGGAAUGGCGUCUGAAACUACGGAGCUGGAGUGUGGCAGAGGGAGGUAGAAUUCCACGUGUAGCGGUGAAAUGCGUAGAUAUGUGGAGGAAUACCGAUGGCGAAGGCAGCCUCCUGGGCCAACACUGACGCUCAUGCACGAAAGCGUGGGGAGCAAACAGG
rnacentral:rRNA from 1 species